rnacentral:rRNA from 1 species
AUACGGAGGGUGCGAGCGUUGUUCGGAAUUAUUGGGCGUAAAGAGCAUGUAGGCGGUCUGUUAAGUCUGGUGUGAAAGCCCGGGGCUCAACCCCGGAAGUGCAUUGGAUACUGGCAGACUUGAGUAUGGGAGAGGAAAGCGGAAUUCCGAGUGUGGGAGUGAAAUCCGUAGAUAUUCGGAGGAACACCAGUGGCGAAGGCGGCUUUCUGGACCAAUACUGACGCUGAGAUGCGAAAGCGUGGGGAGCGAACAGGAUUAGAAACCCCAGUAGUCC